GGGGCAAACCCUCUGUGGAUCUUUCGCUAGCAGGUCUGCUAAGACCUGCAGGGAAUUUUCUUAUCGCAUAAACCACAGGAAAUGUGAAAUGGAGAGGAUUGUUGACUACUUUCCAGAUACUCAAACAAAAACGAGCUUUUAGAGCUUAGGUUGAUCUGAAAUUAUUUCCCCCCCUGCAGGUCUGGAGCCAAUAACAAUAACACAGACGGACCGUCAAUCUCCUCACUAAACUUCUGGUUUUCAGAAGGGAAAUCUUCUAAGUCAAAGGAUGUCCUCUCACAUUAGAUUGAAUUCUUGGCUUGAAAGAACCAACGCAGCCAUUAGUGUUGUGAGAUCCAUUUGACAAAUACAUCUUAAAUUUAUUUUAUUUCUAGUCUUUUUCAAGUCCAUGAUUAUGGAAAUAUAACCUAAGUGAGAAAAAAAAAAAAAAGGAUAUCCAGAGUGAGCAGAGGGAGAGAUGUUUCAAGAUGAUUAUAGUAGAAUAAUGGAUACUAUUAUUACAUAGGAGGUGGUUUGAUGGAAAAAGAUCCUUGGAUGUUUGCAUUUAGUCCCUGACUGAAUCAACAUAGAAUUUCUACCGACCUAAUUAAUCUUAAAUUAAGCAUGCCUACUGUUUACUGUGAUGACCUCACCCGACAGGCUGUUUGAGCGUCUGUUUUUCCUCAUGGCGAAAAAGGUUCUCUUUUACUUCAAAAGUGAGUUUUCCUCCUCUUAAGUUCAGUUGUUUGGCCAUUUCCAUCCAACAUAAACACUUCUCUCUCACCUUUAAGCUGUUUCAGGCUGAGUUGUGUCUUUAAUGCCUGCACGGCUCUCUGUGCAGGCUUCUGACUUCAGCGGGAGCUAUGAGUCUUGGAGGGCCUGAUGUGACCCUGUGUUUGUGCUCAGUAUAUAAGUAUUUAUGUAAUGUUUUCACUUCCUGACCCGCUCAGUAUCAUUUCUUUGGCAAAAUAUAUUCACUUCCCUCACAUUUUCCCCAUCUGUUAUAUUCUUAGUCUGUCUAUUACUUUGCUUACUUUUCUUUGAUCCUUUUUGGUCUGGAUAUCAUUUUCCAAGCACAGUGCAUUGACACACAUGCACACACGUAAACCAAAAAGAUACACAGAGUUUGCUUUCCACUUUCCAAAGUGUGUACAUCAUCUAGCGUAGCGUAGCACUUGGCUUUACAUAGUCAGCGAUGCAGACACAUAUCUCUAUACUGACAAGAUGAAUUGAUCUUCUGUUUUUCUAAAUAGAGACAAAGGGUUCUCUACUUCUUAGUUUUAUGAGAAAGAACUUACUACUAUUGAGAAUAUAUGGUCUGCGCUUCCUUCAUUUUCCUUCUCUGAGUCUAACUCUGGGAUAUUUUUCUAGAUGGAGAGGUUUUCAGGCUUUCCUGUGAUGAAUCAAUAUUUGUUUCCCUUUGUUCCUAAAUAGUAUAUUUCGGAAGCAUCGCUAGUGCACCAUCCUGGAAGAUGUUAACGUUCAAGAAAACAUCAAACUGGGUAUCAGGCGUCUGUGGAUUCAUUCUGGAUUCCAGCAUUGUCGGUGAAGAAGAGCAUACGUUUGAUAUCGGUAUAUUUUUAUGGGGGCAAGUGGCCUCCUCAGAUAGCCGAGCAACAUAAAGGAGCCGAGUGGGAAAGGAAAAAAGAGGAAAGAGAAUCCUAAAGAAGUGAUGCCAUUUGUUCAAGGAGCCAGUGUACUGAUGGAGCCAGUAUAUUGUUGUUGACACCUAAAUCUUGUCAAGUACUGGCAAACAGACAGACAAACAGAUGAACAAAUAAAUCAAAUAUUUACCACUUUACAGAAAGGAAACCGAGGCUUAUCAUGAGUAAAAAGUUGCCGAAAGUCAUACAGCAGGACUGCAAGAGCUUCCACUCAGACACCAAAACGAAUGAUCGUGAAAGUAUGGAAUAUUCAUGCAAUGGAAUACCACUCGGCAGUAUAAAGGAACAAACUGCUGAUAAACACAACCCUGUGGGUUAAUCUCCAAAACAUUAGACUGAAAGAAAGAAUCCAAAGUAAAGUCUGUAAAAGAGUACUUACGGCACGAUUCCAUUUAUACGAAGCUCAGGAACAAGCAAAUCCGUGUUGAAAGCAAUCAGAGCAGCAGUGAGGAGUCGAACUGGAAGGAGGCUGAGGAAGAUUUUUCAAGGUGAUGGUUGUUUUCUCUGUCUUGACAGGGAUGUUGUGUUAUGUUGGUAUGUGCACUUGCCAAAUUGCUUGUAAUUAUAACACCUAGUGUUGUCCACUGUAUCUAUGUUAUGCCUUAAAAUCAAAGUUAUUAAGAGAAAAAACGUGUGGUUAUUUUCCUUUUUGCCUUUACUUCCAGCAGCAUUUUAAGUAUAACCAAUUAACCAAUAAUAACUUCAAAUUGUUUCUUUUUCCACAUGACAUGUAGAAUCAGAUUAUCCUUCUCCAAGUCAAUCCUGAGGGUGUUUUAAUUGGAAUUACAUCUCAUUUAACCAU